UGACAGCUCAGCUGGUAGAGCAUGAGACUCUUGAUUUCAGGGUUGUAGGUUUAAGCCCCACAUCGGAUAAA